CAGUUUCACCAUAUGCUCAUUUGACCAGAUGGCACUAGUGCCCCUGUGCUGAAUUUGGUUGCCAUGAACUUAUGGCAACACAGGUUCCAGCUGCUCCCUGGGAAGCAUCGGUCGCGGGCCCCAGGGCACCGCAGCCCGCUAGGGGGAGGCAUCGGCUCGGGAAAGCCCCCGGAUCCCGCCCCGCACCGCCCCGCGCCCGGGGCAGCUCCAGCUGCACGUUCUCCUACUCCCAUAGGUUUGCAGCAUCUGCAAAAAGCCUCUUGGAAAUGGAGCCUAUCUGCAUCAAUUCAAAGAGUUCAUGAACAGCACUGGAUAUUAAACCAAGAUCAAUCAAGAUUCAACCUUCAAGGCCUUCAACCAAGGCCUUGGGCACCCCCAGCUGUUUCAUUGUCACCUGCUGCUCUGCUUCUGAUUUCUUUUGCUGGUAGUUGUUUGGUCUCCUUUGGCAGCUCUGAUGCUUUAAUCAGUGACACAGCCUUCUUGCUCUGAAGCCUACAACUUCUCUAAUGGUGUUUUUUUGUUGGACACCUGGGCCUCAGCUUCCACUCUCCUCUCUAGUAAGUGAAGAAGAACUCCACUGCAUUUUGUUCUUCUGUAGUUUCUUUUUCUGCUGUAAAGAAAAAUAAAAAAUAUUGUGAUUAAUAAAGGAUCA
rnacentral:lncRNA from 1 species